GUGGGAUAAGAUCAUAAGAAGUGUGCUAGUAAUUAGUAGAAUUCUAGAAUUUUAUUUUAUUUUAUUUGCAUCACUGCAUUAGACAUCACUUCAUUGUGGAAGUAAAAGAUCCAUUUACUUGACCAAAGAAAGGCUCCAUUUUUCAUAUCUAUUCCUUCUCUCCAUUUUCCAAUUCAAUUCUCUACAGGAAAAUAAAGAAAAUGUCACUUGUUGAAAUGGAAAAAGUGUUUGAUGAUAAGAUCAUAAGAAGUGAGCUAGUAAUUAGUAGAAUUGUAGAAAAUUUUUUUUUAAUUUAUUUUCAAGUCUAGAAUUUUUAUUUCAUUAUCACAUUAGACAUCACUUCAGUGUGGAAGAUAAAAGGUCCAUUUACUUGAAGAAAAUUAGGCUUCAUUUUUUAUCUAUAUUUCUUCUCUCCAUUUUCCAAUUCAAUUCUCUACAGGAAAAUAAAGAAAAUGUCACUUGUUGAAAUGGAAAAAGUGUUUGAUGAUAAGAUCAUAAGAAGUGAGCUAGUAAUUAGUAGAAUUGUAGAAAAUUUUUUUUUAAUUUAUUUUCAAGUCUAGAAUUUUUAUUUCAUUAUCACAUUAGACAUCACUUCAGUGUGGAAGAUAAAAGGUCCAUUUACUUGAAGAAAAUUAGGCUUCAUUUUUUAUCUAUAUUUCUUCUCUCCAUUUU
rnacentral:misc_RNA from 1 species